rnacentral:rRNA from 1 species
CAGCCGCCACGGGAAUACGAGGGGGGCAAGCGUUGUUCGGAAUUAUUGGGCGUAAAGGGUGCGUAGGCGGCUUGACAAGUCUUAUGUGAAAUCUAUGGGCUCAACCCAUAGUCUGCACGGGAAACUGUCGGGCUCGAGAAUGGGAGAGGUGAGUGGAAUUUCCGGUGUAGCGGUGAAAUGCGUAGAUAUCGGAAGGAACACCUGUGGCGAAAGCGGCUCACUGGACCAUUUCUGACGCUGAUGCACGAAAGCUAGGGGAGCAAACAGGAUUAGAUACCCGUGUAGUCCCUGUCUCUUAUAC